UCUCAAAUGCUUGAUAGCUCCGUCAAAGAGAUGCAAGCUCCAAUAAUAAGACGUCAAUCAGCUGAGUUUUCUUUUGGAAAGGAAACAGCAUCUGCCCAGGAGACCACCGGAGACAAGACUACACACUAUGUGAUUCAGAAGGACACGGGCAUAUGGGUAUGAGCUAAGUACUACUACUGUCAAAAAAAAUAAAUAAAUGUCUCACGUAGACCAGAGGUGUCCCGGCGGGUGACACGACAUAACAAAUCAAACCUCUCCAAUCUGCAAGUAUAAUGGGGAAAGAGCAACGUGAUGAUAUCAGUGUGUCAACACAGCGGUAGCAUCUUUCCCAGUGCACACAGACACGCAGGGUCCAAAGUCUCAUAUGUAAGCCUCGAUUAUAUGGUGGGCAUGUGAUCUAUGGCUGUAUUAUACCGCAAACAGUAGGCUACUGUAUAAAACCAAGUUAGCCAGCAUCAACAGAGGACAUUGCUUUGGGUGGAGCACCACAUGGACACUGAACGAGCAGCCAAUCACGACGCUGCUGUAUGAGACAGUCACUCGACUAAAUGGCCUUCCCUUUGUCCACAGCGGGAAGCACGUUCUACGGUAAUAGAAACAAGGUGAGAGGAGAUGAAGACGGAAAACUGAAUGUUCUUAUUGUGACUCAAGCAAAACAGGCAUGAGGGUCCACUGGCCACAAGGGCCAAAGAGGACAACCUGCAUCGCCUAACAAAUGCCACAUACCGCUGCGUGCUGGAGACAGAGCGCGUCCUGACUGACAGCGAUUGGACGCAGCGGAAGGCUGGAAGGCAGCGACCUGGAUCAACAUCUCCAACAGACACCGUUCACACUGUGUGCUCUCACAUCCGCCAUAAUCCUGCCAAAAGCUGCCAUUGUGAGCCUCCUUUGAAUGAGUCAGCAUCAAUCCGCAGAUUAUCCAAAGUCAGAUGUGACAAGAAACCACAAUGAGGGAUUAAACUAUUUGAGUUACUUGUUUACCAGCUGAAACUGGAAUUUGAUGAAUUUCAAAAAUAUGCUUUUGGAAAAAAAAAGUGAUUUUGUUAAGUUGGUGCAUUUGAAUUUGCAAACUGUGUCUACGGCUUGUUUAUUUGCUUUUGAGGCUUUUAGGAGACUUUCUGUGUGCGCGCUUUGUGUGUGUCCUGAAAAUUCUGUUUUGCACAUUACCAGAUUCUGUGUCUGGCUUCCUUUAAUCCCAUUUGUUGUAGGGUUUAAACAGAUUUGUAGAUUGCAUGUUUUAUUGUUCUAUUAAAAAGCAUCAGGUAAUAUUACCCCAUUCUGUAAAAAUUCGAUUAAUUUCUUGAACUCCAAUAGCUUUGCAGGUGGAGAGCUGAUUUAUUUUAAAACAAUAUGUAAUCCUGUCAAGUCUGAGUGCACACACAUCACAGCUUGUAAAAUUAAGCUUGCAAGUAUAAUAAAAAUGAAUGACAACCCGUUACACAACAUAGGUGUGUUAAAAGUAGAAACGGCAUGAAGUAAACCAAGCAGCUGCACUAACAGAUUAUGGCUGAAAUACUAAGAUCGUAAUUAGAAAGCUGUCCUCCCUUUUCCCCUUCUCUGCACAAGGAAAAAAUAAUUGCCGUGACAUAAAAAUGAUCAAAUAUGCACCACAUUUUUGUAACAUGGCACGUAUUUGAUGUGAACUUUAAUGUCAGUUAAGCAUUUCAGGGUAGAGUAGUGACAGCUCAUACGUGUUAUCAGCUACGGCUGUAGUUUCCCGUUUCCUGACUAGAUGACGUGUGGCUUAAACCACAAGUCGGCGAUUAAUGUGCAGCUGCUACUCAGCUGUGGAGCACAAAAAGCCUUCUCUCCAGUAGCAUGCAGCAACAGGCUAAUUGGUGCUCAGCAGGGGGAGAAGUGAAUGCAUCAGUGACGUCACCACAGGGGCCACGCGGGCCUCUGUGGGGUGAUGCCUCUCACAGACCUGCUCCCGCCUCUAUAUGCCUACCCCCUUUCACCAUUCACCACCAACUACUCCUCACCUAACACAAUGUCUCAGUGAAAACUGAAGCACUGUGCGCCCAUGACCUCAGUUAUGACAAAGAAUGCUACUGUUUUCCAUUUAGGGGGCUCUCUGGGUGAAUGGCUCUCCUUCCCCACUUCUCACAAAGCCUCCCAGAAUCCCUCGCUACGAUAACUAGGCUGUCACUCACCCAAUUAGGUGUCAGGCCUGUGGAGAGGCCUCUCUCCGCGUCUUGUUUUUGAGGUAUAUGCCAUGUUAGCACCCCUCCUAAGCUGACAGUAAAACAAUGCCCGUCUUUGUUUGCCUCUCCACUUUUCAUCAACGGGAGGUUGGGUGCCGGGGCAUGAGCUCGGGGGGGGAGGUGAGGAUUCUGAAACAAGUGCAGCCUCUCCUCAUUCACGUCUGUGCCAGCUAGAGAUAUCUUUGGAGUGGUCUAAAGAAAGCAAUGCUGACUUUUGUGAAAGACAAAGACCAGCUGGAUAUCGCCGCCUGUUUUCCCUCCCCUGACCACUGAAGUCUUCUGUUGACUUACAAGUGUUGUUUCAUCUUCUCAAGUCCCUGUUACAACUCCAGCUCUCCACAUAUCAUUCAUUCACUUGUUUUUCUCUCCUGCCAAGAUAACGUCUUUUAUUGGAACUAUUUGUAUUCUGUCUCACUCUCACUUCAGCUCACUGUUACACCGUUACACGCAAAUAGCACAUACGCCUUAGACCGAAUACCUUUAAACCAACAAUAAAGGCAGAUACUCAGCUGA